rnacentral:tRNA from 1 species
GCCUGGGUGGCUCAGUCGGUUAAGUGUCUGACUUCGGCUCAGGUCACGAUCUCAAGGUUCAUGGGUUUGAGUCCCACAUCAGGCU